rnacentral:rRNA from 1 species
AUGGUGCCGGAGGAAAUAAGGGGGCAGACGUGGUCUCGAACUGCCCUACUCCAACGUGCGCUCAGUGCAUCCACUACCAUGGGGUCCAGGGUGGACCCCCCUAAACGAAUAGACAUGCUUGCCCUGUUUUGGAACCUGCGCUGCUUCGACCAUGGUGGCCAUCGUAGGGAGUUUAUAGAAUAUAUGAGAGAAGAGUCCAUUGAUGUCGUGGCGAUCCAGGAGACGAUGAGAACUGAGUUUUCGCUUGCGGAACUUGAUCGCCUUAGUCGACACUUGUUUGCAUGGCACUGGCUGCCAUUUAGUGGAGUGGCGGGACACUCCUGUGGCAUCCUUCCGGGAGUGAAGGACGCCACCUUUGAGGUUGGCUCCAUGGACCGUGGAGAGUUCUUCGUUAGUAUGGAAGUGUGGGAAAGGGCAGUCAACUUCAAGUGGGAAGUGAUUGUGGUCUAUGGCCCGGUGGACCAUGGUCGGUCUGCUGCCUUUCUGGAGGAGCUCCGGGUCAAGAUUGGCUUCGCCACCCUCCAGUGUGUUGGAGGGGACUUCAACCUUCUCCGCGCGGCGUCGGAUAAGAAUAACACCCGUGUUGAUCUUUUGGGGAUGCAAUGCUUUAACGACUGGAUUGCGGAUCUGGGCCUCCGCGAGUUAGACAGGGUUGGGGCACGCUACACUUGGACUAAUAGACAGGUGUCCCCAACCCAAAGUGUCUUCAAUCGGGUGUUUAUGUCACCCGAGUGGGAACUUCGGUUCCCAUUAGCUACAUUGCAAGCGAUUACAUGCAUUGGAUUCGACCAUGUCCCCCUCCUUCUAUCCUCGAAGGAUGAACGGCCAUGCCCCCCGCCGCGGUUUUGA